GGGCCAUAGCUUAGUGGUAUAGCAUCUGCUUUCUAUGCAGAAGUUUCCAGGUUCAAUCCUCGUCAUUUCCA